AAAAAAAUUUCGAGUCCUCACAGACAGUGCACUAGGGAUUUAAGUAAUCAACUCAUAUUAUAGAUUCAUAUUGUAAAACAAGUGUGAUACCUAAAUUUCUAUUUUCAAUAAUAAUAAAAGGCCAAUUAUGUCAUUACAUACUUUUUGGUGCGAGAUAAACUUUUUAUACAUUCAAGUAGUUUUUAUUUUGCGCCGAAGUGUAUAUUUAUAAGGUUUAGUGUGACGGCCCCACAUUCUCCUAGGGCAUACCCUAGGAGUUAGCGGUUCGCCUGUCUGACUCUCGCCAGGACUCAUUUAUUUUCAUUAACUUCGGAGAUAACAUUUCCAUUAAACAACUGACUGUUCACUCCUAGUGCAACUCCCAUCAACUUGAAACAUAAAAUUGUCCAAUAAAAGAAACAAAAUAUACAUUCUAAACAUCCAUUCUUAAUACCACAUCAAACUCAUGAUGAAAGGUUCGACCAGUUCAAGGUACAAAGGAAACCAUGACUACAAUAUAUACAUACUAACGGAUCUUCCAAAACAACUUCCUAAUUCAACUCGAUCAUUCUUCAAACUUCAAUUCCUGUAAGGAAAACAAAGCUGAGGGGAUGAGCUUACGUCCAGUGAGGUUUCCGUGCAAGCAACAAUCAAUAAACACUUAAACCAGAUAAGCCAGUAACAAAAUUAAGCAAGUAAGGAAUACUUCACUGAACAAUCACUUUUGAAAGGAUACGGUGCUCGCAUUAGAGCCACUUCAAUGCACUACACACUCCGCCGAACUCCUCCUUAUAACCUCAAAAACAGUAAACACUUCCCUUAUUUAGAUAGCCAUAUCAAUAUCAGUAAUCUGCUACUCCGUGGUAAUACUCGAGCAUACUAAUACACUUACCCAAAGCUACCAUCCUAUCCGACCAAGCCCUUUUGUUGACUCGAAUAGUCCGUUGAACAAAGGGUUUUGGGGCCCAGUUCAGCCGGUGUGGUAAAAUACACACACGACUUACAGUCAUGCACACUUACAAUAACACUUGAUCAAUUAUCAACCUUCAAGCUCAAACUAAGUUGAGUGCAAUAAAGUACACUCUCGACUUAGAAGGCGAGGGACAAUUGAAACACACUUCAUAAUAAAGUACUGGCAUAAUCAUACAAACAUCAUUUAAGUAACACAUAGGCAAUUUAAACACACAAAUGUGGAAACACUCACUUAGUCAAACAUAUUGCACUUCGGUCUCGAGAUUGCUUUUACACCCACUAGUAGUUCCUGAGACAAAUUUCAAGUACUAUGAUUAUGGCAUAAUUCUAGGAAUAGUCACUAAAUGCAGUUACUUUCAUCCCCAAUCCGGAUUCUAAGUUGGUUAUACCAAAUUUAAUCGUUAGAAGAUACCCAAAGUACAUAUAUCGUUCACUUUAGUAUAAUUUAGCUAAGUUCAAGCACAAUAAUAUUGUAUAAAAUCUACCGAGCAACUCAAGUUAAAACCAAAAUUAAUUAAGGUUAAGAUUUAGUCUUAAAGGUAGAAUAAUUGUCCAGGUUCACUUCUUCCGUUUCCUCCUAAAUUAGUCUUUUCUAAAUUAAAACUCAACGCGUACCUCAUGCAUGUCUAGUUUUAGAUGUUAAGAGAUGUAUGAAGCAAGGAUAUACUUAUUAGUAACCAAAGUUAGGGAGUUAAAGCUGAAAUUUCCCUUACUUACCCUCUCCUCGGCCCUCAUUAAAAAUUCCAACAAUGUUCCUUAAGUUUUCACUCUUAAACAACCAACUUUCACUAGAACCAAAAACAGAACAUAUGUUACGAAUGAGCACAUAACAGGAUUUCUGCAGGUCAAAUUACUAAAAUUUCUGAUACAAGUUGGAAAACCAACUCCUUUUCUCUUGGCCAAAGCUGGAGCAAUUCCAGCAAGUGAACCAACUAUAAAACAAACACAAACCAGCUCUAAACUUUACAUGCAUCACUCUAGAAACAUUAGACAAGGCAUAAAUCAUGGAUUUCAGUUACCAUCUAGCAAAAUUUCCAAGAAAUAACCAAAGUUGCAUCGUGUUCUUCUUUCCUCCUAGUUUGCUGUCUUAAUGUUCCAGAUUUGUUCCUGCUUUAAAGUUCAUCUUUUCUUACUUUUCAACUUUCAAGUGUUACAUGCAUGUCAAUAUUAAAUUAUUAUAAGGUGUGAACAAUAACAAUAUGCAAUUUACAGCCCGAAAAUCCAUGGAGAAAACUGGAAAAUUUCACCAUUUCUCUCUCUCGGUCCAUCCCAACAGGUUCCAGCAGGUUUCUUUGACAUUUCCAGCCAAGAUUACCAAUGUUUUUACUAGUUUUGCAGAUAAAUAUCCUAUAAGAUCAGAGAUAAACAUAUUUCAUGCAUUCCUAGCAUAAUUCUCCAUAGAAAAUUCAGAUAACAGCUGUAACUCAAGCAAAUAACUCUCGGUUCCUUCAAAUUUCUGUCCGACAGUUUCAUCUUCUUCUAAACAGAAUUUUACCUUAGUUAAGAAUUCAUUUUCUUUGCUAAACUCCAACAUACAGCUUAAGCUCUAUGUAUAUUAGCUGUACGAGAGAAGAUUGCAGAAUGUUUACCUUCCUUUCCACCUAGAAUCAGUAAAUUGCAGCUACUCUUUAGGUCCUCUGCUCUGACUCCUUCUAACAGCUCCCGUUACUUCCUCUCCUUCUAUCUACUCCACUUCUCACUUAGUUAAAGCUGAUAGAUGAUGAAACCGCAGGAUUUCUCUCCCUUUUUCCUCUCUCUCACUUUUGGCUCACGGUUCUGAGGUUGCAAGCUGGAGAAAUGAAGCUAGCAAAUGUCUAACUCUCUCUCCCUCUCUCUCUCUCGGUUGCAAGCUGAACAAAGAGGAACCAAAAAUAUUUUCUUUCCUCCCUCUCGGUCGUGUAUUGAGAUGAACGAAAUGUAGCUUAGUCUCUCUCAGUUUUGCUCUUAGUGUUCGGUUAGUAAGAAGAGUAAUUGGAGUUUUCUUUGCCCUUAGCCACAGCCCAAAUUUAAGCAGGUAGUUCUCUUCUUUUCCUCUCGGUUGUUUAUAUAGCUUGAAUGAAAGAAAGAACAGCAAUGCCACCUAAUUCCUCUUGCUCUCGGUUACUCCUGACUCAGCAAUUGUUCCACCGCCCAAACCAACUCCUAUUUACUUCCUCGUUCCACCGUUUAGGCUUAGUAGCUCAUUGGCAGCUGCCUUCCUUUGGUUC
rnacentral:lncRNA from 1 species